CGGAGGGUGCGAGCGUUGUCCGGAAUCACUGGGCGUAAAGGGCGCGUAGGUGGCUUCUCAAGCGCGCGGUGAAAGCCCGGGGCUCAACCCCGGGUCGGCCGUGCGGACUGGGAGGCUCGAGCACUGUAGGGGCGGGUGGAAUUCCGGGUGUAGCGGUGGAAUGCGUAGAGAUCCGGAAGAACACCGGUGGCGAAGGCGGCCCGCUGGGCAGGAAGGCUCGCAAGAGCCGGCUGACACUGAGGCGCGACAGCGUGGGAGCAAACAGGAUUAGAUACCCUGGUAGUCCACGCCGUAAACGAUGGGCACUAGGUGCUUGGGGGAGCGUCCCCCCGGGUGCCGGCGCUAACGCAUUAAGUGCCCCGCCUGGGGAGUACGGCCGCAAGGCUG
rnacentral:rRNA from 1 species